UUUCCUACGGGAGGCAGCAGUAGGGAAUCUUCCACAAUGGGCGCAAGCCUGAUGGAGCAACACCGCGUGAGUGAAGAAGGGUUUCGGCUCGUAAAGCUCUGUUGUUGGAGAAGAACGUGCGUGAGAGUAACCGUUCACGCAGUGACGGUAUCCAACCAGAAAGUCACGGCUAACUACGUGCCAGCAGCCGCGGUAAUACGGAGGGUGCGAGCGUUAUCCGGAUUCAUUGGGUUUAAAGGGUGCGCAGGC
rnacentral:rRNA from 1 species